rnacentral:lncRNA from 1 species
ACUCGCAGGCCUCCCCCUCCCCCCAGCUCCUCCCUACUACCCCCUUACAGGCCGGAGAUCCGCUACUAGGGGUGUGGGUGGGAGGGAUGAGUGCGUGUGGUGGGUUGGGGGGACAGGUAGUGGUGAGAAAGAUGGAGCGGGGGGGAAUAUUGCACCGCCUGGCCCGCGCCGGAGGAAGCAGCAGCUGGAACAGCUGGCUGGGGAGCCGCUUGCAUGCCUCCGGUUUUUUCUUUUCCCUUCCACCACCCCUUCCCCCAACCCAUUUCUGCCUCCCCGUAGCCCUCAUCCUUACCGCCCCCCUCCCCCCUAUCCACUGCAGUUCGGCGCGGCCUGGGGGCUCCUGGAUCCCCGCAGGCAGUUACUAGGGCAGGAGAAGGCAAGGGGCACUGCGAUGGGAGAGACUGGGUUCCUCACUGCAACCUGGUUCGAGGGGCCCUGGGGGAGUCCAUAAAAGGAUUACUAUUUUUUUGGCCAAUUGCUGCAGUCGGAGGGGUGGGGGCGGGGGAAGGUGAGAUCCACACCCCCUUCCUCUUUCUUCCCUGCCCUCCCCGAGCUCGGUCCCGGCCACUCCCUCCGCAGCUGGGCGUCGCCGGCCGCGCUGGGGUGAGACCCUAGCCCCGGGCUCCGUGGCUCUCUGGGGCGGUCGGUCUUAGGAAAGCGGUGGGAGAAGCGGUUUUUGCUACAAUCCAGUAGACUUGGGAAGUUUCUAAAUACUUGAAGUUGGUUAGUUCGAACUUUCAAGAAAAGGAAACAGUUAAAAACAGAGCUUGACAGGUCACCCAGGUGACCCGGUGUGUUAGGGGCAGUUUCAAAGACUGAUGUGAGGAGUAGUGGAAAGGGGUCAGUGAGUGAUACGGUCAUUGUGAAGCAUUGGCUGGACAGUUCUUUACAGCCCCCCUGCACAGCUGCAGGCUGUGAGGUAUGUGGUCAAGAAAUGGAGAUAAAGCUGUUUCUGAGUUCAAACACAGUAGGAAGGCUGCGAAAUGGCUGGCAUUGCCCGGCUGUGUUUGCAUCCUCUCUCUGCCAUUUGAGGGCAGUGGAUUCAGCAUGCAUCUUUGAAAUAUAUCCCAGCUUGUCAGAGGUAUCUCUUCUGCAGCUUGAGCUUCUCCAAGCAAGGAUGUGUUUUAUUCCAUGCUGUGUCCCUCACACAGCACCUGGGACACAGGAGGUACACAGCGAGAACCGAAGUUUGGAGGUAGACGAGCAGGCGAGCGGUUUGCCCGGGCGCAGAGCAUGAAGGCCGGGCGGGCGCGGGGAGCGGCGCCCCGGCCCGGCGCGGGGGUGAGCGAGAGAGAGAGCGGAGCGCGUGUGGCCGGCGCCGCUCGGCCGGGAG